rnacentral:lncRNA from 1 species
CAUCUUGUCAUCCAAAAGAAUGCUGCUAGGAUUGAUGUGACGGUGAAUGAUGGUGCGCUUGAGUCCUGCAUGAAGGUAGUGUAGUCCACGUGCUGCUCCUAUGCAAAUCUCUACUCUUUUCUUCCAUGAUAGUUGACCUUCUUCUAGGUGUUGAUCUAGAGAUCCAUUGGACAUAUUGGACAUGUAUUCAUACACAACAAUACUCACUUUUUUGUGGUUGCAAAAUCCCACAAUAGACACACAAUUAGGGUGAUGAAGCUGACACAGUAACUCUACUUCUUUUUUGAACCAUUUACAUUCGAGCAUAUGAAAUCUCUUCACUUCGACUGCGUAAUCAGAACCAUCAUUAUGUUGGAGACAACCUUUGUAUACAAUACCACUUCCUCCAUUGCCAAUUACUCUCUUAUCAUCAAAAUUGUUGGUUGAUUUUCUAACAUCGUCCAGAGAAAAAUGAGUGCACAACUCUUCUAUCACUGUUGGAUAUUGUCUCCCAGAUGUACUUGAUUUACCAACACAUUUGAGAAACAUUGUUCCAAUUCCAGACAGAGACCAACUUCCUUAAAUUACCUCUCUAACUAAAAACAUUGACCUCUACUCGCCUUAGAGAUCUUCAUACCCAACUCAAGCUUAUCCUGUUUUUNNNNNNNNNNNNNNNNNNNNNNNNNNNNNNNNNNNNNNNNNNNNNNNNNNNNNNNNNNNNNNNNNNNNNNNNNNNNNNNNNNNNNNNNNNNNNNNNNNNNAUUUUUAAAAGAUUUUUAUUUGUAGUUUUGUAGUAAUCAACUACAUAUGUUACAUUAUUAAAGUAGCCAAAAAUUGUCACUAGCAAACUAUUAAUCAAAUAUACUUUACUAUUAUUUUUUCUUUCAAAAUGUGACUGAACUUGUUUUUUUAACAUUUUUUUCAUAAAAUCAUAUAAUAAUAAAAAAUAACUAGAUUGAUUAAAUCAUUAUCGUAUAUAUAAUUUUUAUUUUAAAUUCUACAGCAACUAAUUUAUUACAAUUUGUGAAAUAGUAUUUAUAAUUACCAUAAUCAAGUACCACGUAAAUAAAAUAAUAUAUUUAUUUAUGAUAUAUUUAGUUGUUUUGAGCAUUCUAAUUGAUAGGGCAAUAAUAUAAUUUUCUUCAAUUGGAAAGAAAGUUAGUAUAUGCUGAUAUAUUUUAUUUAAAUUAAUUUUUUUUUAAGAUUUAUUCUCAUAUUAUAUAUAUAUAUAUAUAUAUAUAUAUAUAUAUAUAUAUAUAUAUAUAUAUAUAUAUAUAUAUAUAUUUUGGUGCAGGUGAUAGUAUUCGAUGAAACGACUUAAUCUUUUAGAAAAAGGGUUAUAUCAUGGAUGAUACCAAUAACAGAGGAAAGGAAAAAACAAUACCAGUACAGACAUUAUGAGUACUCGAGAUUAUAAGAAAAUGCCAUUUUAGAUGGAAACUUUGUCAUGGUUUCAACACUUUGCUUUGUUCGGUCAAAACAUUAUUUAUUAGCUCAAUAAUGUUUUUACCAGUUUCCCGAAGCAAGUGUGAAGGUGGCAUUUCUUAAAGUGGCUUGUGGUGAAGGACCAUCUUGUCUAAAAUUUAUUCGUUUUUAGUGAAAGAGUAAAAUCAAAAUCUGAAUUAAAACUAGACCCUUUUCAUGAUGCUAGAGUGAGAUCACAUCUUCAACAUAAACUAUUUAAACAUAUAACUAAACCAAAACUUUUUUUGAACUUAUCACUUAUCUUUUUAUACUAGGCUGUUUCUUCUUCCACCUCCAUAGCUUCUUUGAGACCUCCUAAGUCAUCGAAAAGAUCAUUUUAUCUUUAAAAAAUAUUUUGUAAAAAAUAUUGUUUUUUUUUUCUAUUUACACAUAUUAUAUUGUAGAAUUUGAAAAAUAUUUAUGAAUUAAGAAAUAAUCUUUGGAUUUUAUAAUGUAGAAUACAAUUUUUUCCUUAAAAAAAUCAUUUUGAAUUAUAGAAUUUGAAAAAUAUCGUGAUCCGGUAAUAAUUUCUGAAUUGGACAAUCUGUAAGACUUUUAUUAUAAUAUGUAUUUUGAAUUGUAUAAUUUUUCGUUUUUUCUUAAGGAUUAUAAUUAUAUAAUCAAAAUAUAUUUUUAAAAUUUGUUAUAGAUCAUAUAAUCCAUAAUUUUUCGUCUUUUUUUAAGUAUUAUAAACUAUACAAUUCAAAAUAUAAUUUUAAAAUGUAUUAUACAAUCUAAAAGUAUUUCUAAAUCCAAAAAUUAAUAUAAUUUUAAAAUGUAUUAUAGAUUAUACAAUCUAAAAGUAUUUCUAAAUCCAAAAAUUUCUGAUUGUACAAUCUAUAAUAUUAUAGUAUGAGGGUGUUAUAGUCCAAAAGUAUUAUGUUCCAACUGGAAUUUAAAUGUGUCCUAGUUUGGAUGCUCAAGCUGAAAUUUAAAUAUAUAGCUUACUUAGCUUAAAUAUUAGAUAAUUUUCAUUUUGCUUAUUCGAAAGUUAGAUAUACUCUAAAUCCUAAAUCCACUCCUUGAAUAUUGUCUUAUGUAUAAGCAACAAGAGUUUCAGAUUUUACAGAGUUAUUAAAAAACUCUGAAGGGCUAACUUCUUAUUUCCAAGGUUUGAUUCUUACUAAAUAGAGGGAAAUAGAAGCUGAAAGUCAAGUUGUAGCAACCUGGAAGGCUCUCAAGAAGACUUCAGGGGGUUGUCCACCACUCAGCUUGUGAUUUCCAUUAAUCUGCCAAAUUAUUAAUCAGUCACUUCGAUUCUUAACAUAUGAAACUGAAAAAAAUUACUCAGAUUUUAACAUUACAUACACCUACCACGUAAUAUGGAACCCCUGUAAUGUUCCCUGAAUAUGUUUUCAGCUCCUCCUCAACCUAUGUAGACAGAUAGAAACAUGUAAAGCAAGAUCAGCUUUGAUGCCAUAACAUGACUGCCUAAUAAUAACUGAUAAAUCAUGCUAUCAUUUUGAUGUUUAUAUUCAAGAGAACAAAUACAUUAAGCAUUUUGAAGUUAGAACUUUGAGAACCGAAUGAUUCAAAUAUCAAAUGCAAGGAAGCAUAUUUUAAUCCUCAUUUGAAUUUAAAUGCAUCACAAUGGAGUUUGCUUAUAUGUAUAAAUUUGUGUUUACCUCCUUCAAACCACUGUUGGGGUUCUUAAGAAACUCUUCUGCUCCUUCUAUACCAACCUUUGCUGCAGAUUCCAGAAGAAACUUACUGUAUGCAAAUUAAAAGUAAUAAUUAGUGCCUGCCGCUUAGGGACUAUAUUUGAAGACAUUGACCUUCAACCUAUAUCCCACCACAGAAGAAAAUCCAUCAUCCCAUUUUCUAUCAUUCAGUUUUUCAUACUGAACAUUCAAUUCCUCUUUAUUGGUCUUUAUAUUUAGUACAGAAAAGCUAAAUCCCUCACUUCAUAGGAUAAGACUUUUGUUGUUGUUCUAAAUACAUGAAUCUUAAUACUUAAAUGAACCUUCAUUAAAGAAAUUAAUUACUAAGAAAUGAACUUUAAGCCUAAUCCAACCUUAUAAAACCGGCUUCUAAGGUGAGAUUGACGCCAUUUAUAUACUAUGAAAUGUCUUAAUCUCUAGUUAAUGUGGGAUUUCCAACAAACAGUUUUAAUAUUCCAAAAGAAAUGUAUAAAAAAAAUGAGACAUUCAACAAAAGGAAUCCAAAAAAAUAAUGAGUCAAGUGACUACCUAUUGUCAUCGAUCUGUCAAAAAAUUAGCCACUGAGAUCCAUACAGAUAGACGUAUAUCAAUGUAAGUUUCUAGAAUAUCCCCUUCUAAGGCCUUAAAGUUAUGGAGAUAAAGUGCCACUAAUUGAGCAAACAACCAAAAGGAUCACUGAAGAAAAGGCAAAAAAAGAAGCACAGAAGCACUUACUGGUCACCAAUGUAUUUUCCCUGUGUGAAAUAGCCAAUAUUAAGUUCUUCAACUAGAUCAUGCUGCUUGUCAAGACCAUGCUGUCUAGCAAAAUAUAUAAGCCUGUGGCUGUCCAUGGUGUUUCCCCUGCGCAUAAUCAAAACCAUGUUAGUUGAACAUCGGUUGGAUAACUCUUCUUCAGAACACUCACUUCUAAAGUGCUUUAUAGAUGUUUGUCCAUUGAUGAAUUGUAAAACCACUUUAGUCCAGAUAAACUAUAUUGCAGACCAACAUUCUUGAACACCUGCCAAAUACCAAAUUGACUAAAUGACUUGCUCAAAAUUCUUGAUAAGGAUGAAAUAUAGACAACACAACCAAGGACAACAGCGUGAUCAACAAAUAUAAACCUCUGACAUCCGAGCUUCCAUCCGUUCUGAUUGGGAUCCAAACUUUCUUCUGUAAUACUCCCUCUUGUCAAUGCCUUCUUUAGGGGCAUCAGGGUUAAGUUGAAAGGGAUGCCAUAUUAUCUGUAAGUUCAGUUAAACAGCAAAUUAACACAGGAAAAUACCAUAGACAUUUGGUUGCAAGAAACACACAAACAUGAGGAGCGUUUUAGACCUCAAAGUUGUACUUAUCAUUAGAGGCAGCUAUGGCCUUGUCUAGAUUUUUUUUGCCGACAAAGCACCAUGGACACACAGUAUCAGAGCUAACAUCAAUUCUUACAAGCUUCUUUUCAGAAGUCCCGCUCAUGAUCCUACUGUAUCUGCAAUACCUUUAUAACAUAAUAAGCACUUAUAAAGAUUGCUAUGUCAAGGAGCAAGAAUAGUCUUGAUCUAUUAUCAUUCAUUUUUUAAUAAAAAAGAGAAAAAAAAAAUCAUCAGUCAUUUUUUCUUCCAACGGCACCACGUACUUUUGUUCAAAAAUUAAGGCUGAACUUAAGAAUGUCAGAUAUUUCUCCAUUCUUCUAUUCCUAAUUUGAUUGGGUAAACUAUAAAAACAAUAAUAUUCAGACAAAGCAAAGAUACAAUUUCGUACUAGCUUUUAGUAUUGUUGUUUUAUCAUAUUAUGAUUUCAUCUUGAUAAUUCCUAUAAUAAAGGUUUGUACUGUAUAUCAAUACAAGUACCUAAAGAAUUACAUGCACCUACCACUUAAUCCCCCUAAAAUCCCAAUCGUUGUAGAACAAGCUAUCAAUUUGCAAUACAAAAGAUGGAGGGGAAAUAUCAGAAAACCUUUUGCCCCAAAGGAAUCCCGUGAUCAGAAACAACCCAACAACAACUCAAAAACAAAAAUUACAAAACAUCACGAUAUAGUUUGAAAAGAGAGAAAAAAAAACAAACUUUGAGCUAUAAGCAAAUGCAAAGUGAGAAUAAUAAUGAACCCACCAAUUUUGAGUGAGAAAAAAGUAAAGUAAGAAUACCUGGAUGAGGAAACAGAGAUGAAAGGCAAUUAGAAUUUGAUUCAGUUGUAUGGCAAUAAAUUGCAACGUAGUCUUCUUUUACUAUCGUUUCCCAACGUGUUCAAAAGUCGUCGUUUGAGGUAGUUUGUUCAGACCCAACCACCCAAAUUGCAAUAAAGCCACUUUUUUUCAUACUUUUUUUAUCAGCGGAUUUUUAUACCUUCUGCUGUAAUUUAAACGUCAUUGUUGACUUUAAUAAUAAUGUUUAAAGAAAUCUUCGUCAGGAACCCUGGAGCCAGAAUAACAUGUCGUAGAAUCUAAGCUAGCUUGGCUGGUGAAAUCAUAACUUUUCAUCUGUUUUUUUUCUCAGGUGAGGAAUUCUUGUGUUUUUGAAGCAGAAUUUUAUUAGAUUUUAUUGUUGAUACUUUAAUAUCUAGUUGUGGAAAUAGUGCAAUAUUUUAGUUAAAAUCUUGAUAGUAGUUAAUUAAAUACGAAUUUCAAAAUUAAUUUAUAAAUUUUACUAAUAAUAAAAAUAAUUUUAAAUUUAGAUAAUUUUUUUAGUUUAUAAAAUGAUUUGUUAUCAUAGUCGAACUCUUGGAUCUUGGGUAGCCACUAGCUUUGUGCAAGGAUCUUCUCAACCUAUCCUAUGUCCCUCACUCCCAUAAUAAACUCACAACAACUACAAGUAUCACAAAAUGAUGAAGUCUCUUUGUAUGUAUCACGUGCAUUCAAAUGAGUUUCUUAUAAGAAUAGAAUGUUAUCUCUAAAAAAUUAUGACUAGUUUCAGAUUGUUCAUCCUUUGAGGGUGAUAGAUUAUACUAAAAAGAGGGUAGUGCCACUUAGUUUGAAAAAUUUGUUGCCAAAGUCUGCCUUAGACCUUAUUUUUUAUGAACACGUCAACUAUCUAGGCACUGUCUAGGCACUGAAUUGUCACCAUGAAGGUCGAUCAGAAAAUAGUGCAAAAGUAUUAUGAAAUUAGUCUCUGUAAUCUUUGCGGUACUUAUUCUAUUUUUACAUUUGCUGAAACACGUACUUUGGAAGCAUAUCCUCGCAUCACCUACGAGUAUAGAAGGUCAAAACUUGUAGAUGAUGUAAAAAAAGUAUAUAUCAGGAAUGCCAAGAAGAUUAAGAUAGUUGUUGUUCUGAUGACUAAAUAGAUGGAAAAAGAAGUGACAAAAGUAGCAAGAAAGAACAUGAAUAUCAUUGCCUAGUCAACUGCCAAAAUUUCAAGAAUUGAUCAUAUUUUUUGUGUCACUCGAUGACGAAAAGAGAAAGACAGUCAGAGAAAUAAACUAAUACACUAAUAAAAGUCAAUCAAAUUUAGGAGAUUCAGUACUGAGAGGAGAAAAGGGUGGAAUACAAAUGAAUAAUGCGCGAUAAUUUUACGAAUAAGAAUAAUGUUAGUCUAAAAGAUUCUUAUCAUUUACAAAUAUAGAUGCUAUUUAGGAUACAAUCAAAUACGAAUGCAUUCAAUGAACGAAGACAAAACUUCAUUCAUGACAGAGAUCGCAAAUUAUUGUUACUAAACAAUACCAUUCAAUUUAAAGAAUGCUAGUGCAACCUAUCAAAGUUACUAUAAUCUAUGAUUGGAAGAAAUAUGCAGCCUACAUAGACGACAUGGUAAUCAUAUCUAAAAAAUAGAAAAUCAUCAGAUGGAUUUGUAAGAAUUGUUCACCAGUAUCAAUAAGUAUCAACUCAAACUUAAUCUUAAAAUAUGUGUUCGAGGCAAAGGCGAGGAAGUCUUGAGUUUUUUGCUUACGGAAUAAGAAAUAGAGGAUAACCUAGAUCUAUAACCACGAAGAUGACAUUAAAGCCAUGAGAGAGAGCCAAGUCAACAAUGAAAUCCAUGGCCAUAUCUUCCCAGAUUUGUUCUGGAAUUGGUGGGGGUUGUAGUAAUCCAGAUGGAAGGGUAGUUGUUGUUUUCGAUUGCUGACAAAGAAGGUAUUCUUAAAGGAGAAGAGUGAUACUGAUGUAGAGUUGUGGUGGUAAGAUGUAGCUGGUGUUUCUGAUACAGACCAUGCUCACUUCUCCCAUUGUUGGUCAUUCAUCAGCCUCAAAAUGAUGAUAUCUUGACUUUUUUUUAUAUAAAAUGUUCAUCAUUCAUUGCUACCGAAUCACUCCAAGGUUUUUUACAGAACAAAACCUACCAUUAAGUUCAUAUACAAUCACAUUCAUCAAAAUACUAAAAACAAGGAAAGCUAGAGAAUCUUAAUUAAACUUGACUACUUCAAACACUCACUAAAUUACCUGAGUAACAUGUCUUCUAAGUCAUUGCAUUCAGUUUACUGUCCUUUUUACUGGUCAAUGACGUACCCAGUUCCCUGCCUGAUUUUGGGAUAAUAAAUGUUUUGGACAGUAAGGUAUAAUCACUAUUGAUGUUUGUGACAUCUGCUUGUUCCUGCAACAAUAGAGCAUGCUCAAGUUCCACCUCAACUUCACCCAUUGUUGGUCGUUCAUCACGUUCAUUCUUCAUGCAUCUUAAGGCGAUAUCUAUAAAGACUUUCCAACACUCUGGUACAAUCUUCCCUUUGAUUUUCGGAUCAAUAUUCUCCUCAACACUCUUCUUCUCCAGUGUUUCUCCUGCUGCUACUCCAAAAUCAUUCCGUUUAAGAACUCUUCUUGCCGCCACAACUUUCAGUAGAACCAUACCAAAUGCGUAAACAUCAGAUCUAUCUGUGACAGUACCCUCCAUGACGGUCUCCAGAGGUGAGUAGAGCGAAAAACCUAUAAGUUUUGUUCAGUUUAAUUGACAAAAAAUGGUUGUAGCGAGUAAGUAUAAGUAAGCUCAAUAAAACCGGCAAUUAUUCUGUAGCAGCAUAUAGUUACGAGAUAUAUUACGUUACAAUAACAUAGUAAUAGAACAAUUACGUGCAAGAUUCGAUUGUAUUGGUUUUGGCUUUUCCUUGAAAUGUGCUCCUACUAUGCUAUGUUCAAAACCCGUGAGUUUUGGGUGCAUGUUGUCAUCCAAAAGAAUUUUGCGAGGACGGAUAUCAUGGUGAAUGAUGGUGCGCUUGAGUCCUGCAUGAAGGUAGUGUAGUCCACGUGCUGCUCCUAUGCAAAUCUCUACUCUUUUCUUCCAUGAAAGUGCUUCCCUAACCUCAUCUCCCAGGUGUCGAUCUAGAGAUCCAUUGGACAUGUAUUCAUACACAAUAAUUUUCUCUUUUUCGUGUCUGCAAAAUCCCACAAUAGACACACAAUUAGGGUGAUGAAGCUGACACAGUAUCUCUACUUCUUUUUUGAACCAUUCACUGCUGUCCACAUGAAAUCUCUUCACUGCGACUGCGUAAUCAGAACCAUCAUUAUGUUGGAGACAACCUUUGUAUACAAUACCAAAUCUUCCACGUCCAAUUACUCUCUUAUCAUCAAAAUUGUUGGUUGAUUUUCUAACAUCGUCCAGAGAAAAAUGAGUGCACAACUCUUCUAUCACUGUUGGAUACUGUCUCGCAGAUGAACUUGAUUCACCAAAACAUUUGAAAAACAUUGUUCCAAUUCCAGACAGAGACCAAUUUCCCUAAUUACCUCUCUAACCAAAAACAUUGACCUCUACUCGCCUUAGAGAUCUUCAUACCCAACUCAAGCUUAUCCUGUUUUUGCUUUACCUACUUUUCCAUUUCUUUAAAAUACAGAUUGGUAUUAAAUAUUCUAGAUCAAAUGAUGAAUAUGGUUAUCUUUCGUUGUUUCAUCAUUGAAGGUGGUGGGUCACUGUUUUCUUAUCCUUUUUUAAAAGCUAGCACAGCAUAAUUGUUCACCCCUCUUGAACAUAUACUCCUCAUCCCUCUCGAACAUGGAAAAAAUUAACUUAUAUUAGCUUUUUCUCUAGUUAUAAGUUAUUAUUCUGUGUUUCUAAUUAAUUUAAUUUAUAAGUAAUAAAUAUUAUGAAUUGUAUAUUACGAGGAUACAAAAAUUGAAAAAUUUAGUUUUAAAAAUUAAAAUUCCGCUACUGCUAUUCUUUCUGUACGUUAAUUAUUUAAAGAUCAUUUUGGAAACAUUAUAAAUUAUUCAAAAUUUUAAUAGUGAAUUAAUUGUAAGUGCCUUUAAUUAAGGGUGAAAAUAAUUCUUAGCAUUAUUUAACUGUAAUCAUUUCAUUAAUUUGACUAUUUUUAAUAAAGUUUCUUUUAAAGAUUGGUGUGUUGAGUUUAAGAUUGUCUCAACUGGAGAUUACUUUAGAAGACUAUGCUAUUAAUGACAAUUCUAUUGAAGUGGUUUGGGUUGAAAUUAAUGAUGACUAUUGAUCUGAAAAUGCUACUAAGCUAUUUUAUUUUUGUAUUAAUUACAAAGGUCGCCCUUGGAAGAAUUUGGAAUGUCUGUAUUACUUUUGUUAAAUCUUUGGUGUUAUUGAAAUUAAUUUUAAACAUACUCCUUUAAGAUAAUGAUUUGCAAAAUACUGGAGUAAUAUGUUCGGUCUGUAGUCUAUGUAUGCAGUUUCAAUAGUCUUUCCAACAUUGUUUUAAGGACUUGUUUAUUUCUAGUGAUGUGUUUAUGAGCAUGGAUUAGGAGGUAUACCACUCUUUUAGAUUCAGGAAUUAAUUUGAGCAGAAUAUACAUGUUUAUACCUGUCAACACUAGAUAUCAUCUCUUGAAUUGGAGAGAAGAUUACCAAAAGCCAGCACACUAAUAUAGUUUUUUCACUUUUUCUUUUUUUACAUAUAUUAAUUAUUACAUAAAUUUAACUAACAUAGCUAUUUUAAUAAAAUGAAAUAAUAAUAAUUAAUAAAAUUAAUAAUAAAAUAAAUUUUAAAUAUAUCGCUUACAUAGCUUAAAUAUUAGAUAAUUUUCAUUUUGCUUAUUCAAAAGGUAGAAAUGUAGGUCAAAGUUUAAACCCUAAAUCCCAAACUCUGAAUAGCAUCCGUCUAAACCAUAAAUCCUAAAUACUGAAAACUUGAAUAUUAUCGUACAUGUAAGCAACAGAGUUUCAGAUUUUACAGAGUAUUAAAAAACUCUGAAGGGCUAACUUCUUAUUUCCAAGGUUUGAUUCUUACUAAACAGAGGGAAAUAGAAGCUGGAAGUCAAGUUGUAGCAACCUGAAAAGCUCUCAAGAAGACUUCAGGAGGUUGUCCACCACUCAACUUGUGAUUUCCAUUAAUCUGCCAAAUCAUUAAUCAGUCACUUCGAUUCUUAUCAUAUGAAACUGAAAAAAAUUACUCAGAUUUGAACAUUAUAUACACCUACCACGUAAUAUGGAACCCCUGUAAUAUUCCCUGAAUAUGUUUUUAGCUCCUCCUCAACCUAUGUAGACAGAUAAAAACAUGGAAAGCAAUAUCAGCGUUGAUGCCAUUUCAUGACUGCCUAAUAAUAACUAAUAGAUCGUGCCAUCAUGUUGAUGUUGAUAUCCAAGAGAAGAAAUACAUUAAGCAUUUUGAAGUUAGAACUUUGAGAGCCGAAUGAUUCAAGUAUCAAAUGCAAGGAAACAUAUUUUAGUCCUCAUUUGAAUUUAAAUGCAUCACAAUGGUGUUUGCUUAUAUGUAUAAAUUUGUUUUACCUCCCUCAAACCACUGUUGGGGUUCUUAAGAAACUCUUCUGCUCCUUCUAUACCAACCUUUGCAGCAGAUUCCAGAAGAAAAUUACUGUAUCCAAAUUAAAAGUAAUAAUUAGUGCCUGCCGCUUAGGGACAUAGACCUUCAAUCUAUAUCCUACCACAGAAGAAAACCCAUCAUCCCAUUUUCUAUCAUCCAGUUUUUCACACUGAACAUUCGAUUGCUCUUUAUAUUUAGUACAAAAAAGCUGAAUCCCUCACUUCAUAGGAUAAGACUUUUGUUGUUGUUCUAAAUACAUAAAUCUUAAUACCUAAAUGAACCUCCAAUUAAAGAAAUUAGUUUUAAUUAGUCAUUAUUAAAAAGUGGAGUUUAAGCUCAAUUCAAUAUUAUAAAACAGACUUAUAAGGUGAGAUUUGCAUCCACUUUUACACUAUGAAAUGUCCUAAUCUAUAAUCGAUGUGGGAUCUCCAACAGACAGUUUUGAUAUUCCAAAAGAAAUGUAUAAAAAAAUGAGACAUUCUACAAAAGGAAUUGAAAAAAAAAUAAUGAGUCAAGUUAAAAACAUUAGCCACUGAGAUCCAAACAGAUAGACGUAUCUGAAUGUAAGUUUCUAGAAUAUCACCUUCUACGGCCUUAAAGUAAUGGAGAUAAAGUGCCACUAAUUGAGCAAACAACCAAAAGGAUCACUGAAGAAAAGGCAAAAAAGAAGAAGCACAGAAGCACUUACUGGUCACCAAUGUAUUUCCCCUGUGUGAAAUAGCCAAUAUUAAGUUCUUCAACUAGAUCAUGCUGCUUGUCAAGACCAUGCUGUCUAGCAAAAUAUAUAAGCCUGUGGCUGUCCAUGGUGUUUCCCCUGUGCAUAAUCAAAACCAUGUUAGUUGAACAUCGGUUGGAUAACUCUUCUUCAGAACACUCACUUCUAAAGUGCUUUAUAGAUGUUUGUCCAUUGAUGAAUUGUAAAACCACUUUCAAUCUUACGUGAGUCCAGAUAAACUAUAUUGCAGACCAACAUUCUUGAACACCUGCCAAAUACCAAAUUGACUAAAUGACUUGCUCAAAAUUCUUGAUAAGGAUGAAAUAUAGACAACACAACCAAGGACAACAGCGUGAUCAACAAAUAUAAACCUCUGACAUCCGAGCUUCCAUCCGUUCUGAUUGGGAUCCAAACUUUCUUCUGUAAUACUCCCUCUUGUCAAUGCCUUCUUUGGGGGCAUCAGGGUUAAGUUGAAAGGGAUGCCAUAUUAUCUGUAAGCUCAGUUAAACAGUAAAUUAACGCAGGAAAUGGCAGACAUAUUUGGUUGCAAGAAACACACAAAGAUGAGGAGCGUGUUAGACCUCAAAGUUGUACUUAUCAUUAGAGGCAGCUAUGGCCUUGUCUAGAUUUUUUUUGCCAACAAAGCACCAUGGACACACAGUAUCAGAACUAACAUCAACUCUUACAAGCUUCUUUUCAGAAGACCCGCUCAUGAUCCUGCUGUAUCUGCAAUACCUUUACAACAUAAUAAGCACUUAUCAAGUAAGAUUGUCAUGUCAAGGAGUAAGAAUAGUCUUGAUCUAUUACCAUUCAUUUUUUAAGAAAAAAGAGAAAAAAAAACUCAUCAGUCAUAUUUUCUUCUAAUGGCCCAACAUACUUUUGUUCGAAAAUUAAGGCUGAAGUUAAAAAUGUCAGAUAUUUCUCCAUUUUUCUAUUCCUAAUUUGAUUGGGUAAAAUAUCAAGACAAAGCAAAGAUACAAUUUCGUACUAGCUUUUAGUAUUGUUCUUCUAUCAUAUUAUGAUUUCAUCUUGAUAAUUCCUAUAAUAAAGGUUUGCACUGUAUAUCAAUAAAAUUGACUAAAGUAAAACUUCAUAUUAUAAUUAGUGAAUAACAAUACAAGUACCUAAAGAAUUACAUGCACCCUACCACUUAAUCCUCCUAAAAUCCCAAUCAUUUAAAACACGCUAUCAAUUUGCAGUACAAAAGAAGAUGAUGGGGAAACAUCAGAAAAUCUUUUGCCCCAAAGGAAUCCCGUGAUCAGAAACAACCCAGCAACAACUCAAAAACAAAAAUUACAAAACAUCACGAUAUAGUUUGAAAAGAGAGAGAAAAAAAAAAAAAACUUUGAGCUAGAAGCAAAUGGGAAGUGAGAAUAAUAAUGAACCCAGCAAUUUUGAGUGAGAAAAAAGUAAAGUAAGAAUACCUGGAUGAGGAAACAGAGAUGAAAGACACUAAAUUUACAAGCUUUGCCACGCUCACAGAAAUUGCAAAUUUGCAAUUUGAUUCAGUUGUAUGACAAUCGGAGAUUAAAACGGGAACAUCAAUCCAACUUAGUCUUUUUUUUUUGGAUUUAUUAUUUUAUAUUGUCUUACUAUCGUUUCCCAACGUGUUCAAAAGUCGUCGUUUGAGGUAGUUUGUUCAGACCCAACCACCCAAACCACUGUCUUUCACAUGCUGUUCUUCUUCUUCUUAUUAUUCUUAUAUUUAAAUUAUUUAAAUCAAAAAUGAAUUUGCAUUACAUUAAAUACAAUUUUAUUAUAAAAUUAGUAAAAAGUUAUACGAGAAUGUAUCAACUUUUUUUCAUACCUUUUUCAUCACGGAUUUUUCAUACUUAAACGUCAUUGUUGACUUUAAUAAUAAUGUUUAAAGAAAUCUUCGUCAAGAACCCUGGAGCUAGAAUAACAUGUUGUAGAAUCUAAGCUAGCUUGGCUGGUGAAAUCAAAACUUUUCAUCAGUUUUUUUUCUCAGGUGGAAUUCUUGUGUUUUUGAAGCAAAAUUUUAUUGUUGAUACUUUAAUAUUUAGUUGUGGAAAUACUUCAGUAUUUUAGUUAAAAACUUGAUAGUAGUUCAUUAAAUACGAAUUUUAAAAUUAAUUUUAUUAAUAAUAGAAAUUAUUUUAAAUUUAAACAAUUUUUUUAAUUUAUAAAGUAAUAUGUCCAAACAUUAAUUUUCUCAGAGUCCAACUCUUGGGUAGUCACUGGCUUUGUGCAAGGAUCUUCUCAACCUAUGUCCCUCACUCCCAUCUUGUAAUAAACUCACAACAAUUACAAGUAUCACAAAAUGAUGAAGUCUCUUCGUAUGUAUCAUGUGCAUUCAAAUGAGUUUCUUACAAGAAUAGAAUGUUAUCUCUAAAAAACUAUCAAUAGCUUCGGAGUGUUCAUUCUUUGAGGGUGAUAGAUUAUACUCAAAAAGAGGGAAGUGCCACUUAGUUUGAAAAAUUUGUUGCCAAAAUUGCCUAAGACCUUAUUUUUGAUGAACACGUCAACUGUCUAAGCACCGGGAGAAUAAGCUUCGAGGGAAAGUAAAAUUGUCACCAUGAAGGUCCAUCAGAAAAUAGAGCAUGAAGGUCGAUCAGAAAAUAUUCUUUGCGGUACUUAUUCUAUUUCUACAUUUGCUGAAACAUGUACUUUGGAAGCAUAUCCUCGCAUCACCUACAAUGUGCGAUGAAUAUGAAUAAUGUUAGUCUAAAGGAUUCUUAUCAUUUACUAAACAUAGAUUAUAGAUGCAUUGCUGGAUAACUGUCAGGAUGAAGGCUCCUCAACUUCAUAGAUACUUAUUUAGGAUACAAUCAAAUAUGAAUGCAUCCAAUGCAUGAGGACAAAACUUCGUUCAUGGCAGAGAUCGCAAAUUAUUGUCAUUGAGUAAUGCCAUUCAAUUUAAAGAAUGUUAGCGAAACCUACCAACGUUACUACAAUCUAUGAUUUGAAGAAAUGUGCAGCCUCGACAUGGUAAUCAUAUCCAAAACAAUAGAAAAUCAUGAGAUGGAUUUGUAAGAAUUGUUCACAGUAUCAAUAGGUAUCAACUUAAAUUUAAUCUUAAAAUUCGUGUUCGAGGCAAAGGCGAGGAAGUCUUGAGUUUUUUGCUUACGGAAUAAGAAAUAGAGGCUAACCUAGAUGAAUGUUCAGCUACAACUAAUAUCAUAAAGGUGUGCUUGAUGUCAAAAACAAAAAAAUGCUGCAAAAUUGUCAAUAAGUAAGUAUUUAGGCAAGCGAUAUAUAACCACGAAGAUGACAUUAAAGCCAUGAGAGGGAGCCAAGUCAAGACUGAAAUCCAUGACCAUAUCUUCCCAGAUUUGUUCUGGAAUUGGUGGGGGUUGCAGUAAUCCAGAUGGAAGGGUAGUUAUAGUUUUCGAUUGCUGACAAAGAAGGUAUUCUUAAAGGAGAAGAGUGAUACUGAUGUAGAGAUGUAGCUGGUGUUUGUGAUACAGAGAAUGCUCACUUCUCCCAUAGUUGGUCAUUAAUCAGCCUCAAAAUGAUGAUAUCUUGUCUUUUUUUUUUAUAUAAAAUGUUCAUCAUUCAUUGCUACCGAAUCACUCCAAUGUUUUUUACAGAAAAAAAACCUACCAUUAAGUUCAUACACAAUCACAUUCAUCAAAAUACUAAAAACAAGGAAAGCUAGAAAAUCUUAAUUAAACUUGACUACUUCAAACACUCACUAAAUUACCUGUGUAACAUAUCUUCUAAGUCAUUGUCUUCAGUUUACUGUCCUUUUUACUGGUCAAUGACAUACUCAAAUCCCCAGCCUGAUUUUGGGAUAAUAAAGGUUUUGGACAAUAAGGUAUAAAAACUAUUGAUGUUUGUGACAUCUGCUUGUUCCUGCAAAAAUAGAGCAAGCUCAAGUUGCACCUCAACUUCACCCAUUGUUGGUCGUUCAUCAGGUUCACUCUGUAAGCAUCUUAAGGUGAUAUCUAUAAAGACUUGCCAACACUCUGGUGCAAUCUUCCCUUUGAUUUUUGGAUCAAUAUUCUCCUCAACACAAUUCUUCUCCAGUGGUUCUCCUGCUACUUCAAAAUAAAUCGGUUUAAAAAUUCUUCUUGCCCCCACAACUUCCAGUAGAACCAUACCAAAUGCGUAAACAUCAGAUCUAUCUGUGACAGCACCCUCCAUGAAGGUCUCCACAGGUGAAUAGUCCCAAAUACCUAUAAUCUUUGUUCAGUUUAAUUGACAAAAAAAUGGUUGUGGCGAGUAAGUAAGCUCAAUAAAACCGGCAACUAUUCUGUAGCAGCAUGUAGCAGUUAUGAGACAUAUUACGUUUCAAUAACAUAGUUAAAGAACAAUUACCUCCAUAAUCCGAUUUUAUUGGUUUUGGCUCUUCCUUGAAAUGUGCUCCUAGUAUGCUACAUUCAAAACUUGAGAGUUUUGGGUGCAUGUUGUCAUCCAAAAGAAUGUUGCGAGGAUGGAUAUCAUGGUGAAUGAUGGUGCGCUUGACUCCUGCAUGAAGGUAGUGUAGUCCACGUGCUGCUCCUAUGCAAAUCUCUACCCUUUUCUUCCAUGAAAGUGCUUCCCUGACCUCACCUCCCAGGUGUUGAUCUAGAGAUCCAUUGGACAUGUAUUCAUACACAACAAUAUUCUCUUUUUUGUGUCUGCAAAAUCCCACAAUAGACAGACAAUUAGGGUGAUGAAGCUGAC